GCUAGCUAAGGUGGCGGUGGUGGGUGGUGGUGGUGGUGUUGAGUUGAGUGUGUAAUGGCUGUGUGUGCGUGCCUGGCUCCCUGUAUGCCAUUUGCAAGAGCUCAUCAACACAGUUUUGAUGGGGCUUGGUGGAUGGCGUACUGAGUAGCCAUGCAUGCUUAUAACUACCAUUAACUCCUCCAUUCAUUUAUCCCCAACCAACCAUUCCCUUCCUUCCUACUGGCACCAAUGCUGC
rnacentral:pre_miRNA from 1 species